rnacentral:rRNA from 1 species
GAUGAACGCUGGCGGCGUGCUUAACACAUGCAAGUCGAACGGAAAGGCUCCUGCUUGCAGGGGUACUCGAGUGGCGAACGGGUGAGUAAAACGGGGGUGAACUGCCCUGCACUUCGGGAUAAGCCUGGGAAAAUGGGUCUAAUACCGGAUAGGACGAUGGCUUGGAUGCCAUUGUGGAAAGUUUUUCGGUGUGGGGUGAGCUCGCGGCCUAUCAGCUUGUUGGUGGGGUAAUGGCAUACCAAGGCGUCGACGGGUAGCCGACCUGAGAGGGUGUACGGCCACAUUAGUACUAAGGUACGGACCAGACUCCUACGGGCGGCAGCGGUGGAGAGUAUUGCACAAUGGGCGCAAGCCUGAUACAGCGGCGCCGCGUGGGGAAUGACGUCCUUCGGGUUGUGAACACCUUUCGCUAUGGACGAAGCGCAAGUGACGGUACCUGGAGAAGAAGCACCGGCUAACUACGUG